rnacentral:lncRNA from 1 species
UGUUUCUUCUGUCCUUUUGGAAUUUUCAGGGCUGGAGAAGAGAGAUCUGUGUCUCUGUGUGUUUUGACUGUCCUCAGAAACUGGAGCAACCAGCUCCAAGUGCCAGUGCAAAAAUAACUUGACGGUCAAGUUCCUAAGCAUAAGAGCACCUGAUAUUAAUUACGAGCGCUGAAAUGAAUGCCUGUCAUUUGAGCACAGAGGUUCAGCAUUGCUCUCUUGUCCCUUUUAACAAAAGCCUCAAGAGGUGGGACAGCUUCCGUGAUUUGCCUGGACUUGUGUUUUUCCCACAAAGGAAACAAAAAAGAACAUUGUUUAUAUUGGCUAAGAUCAAAAAAAUGGCUAGAACAUGUCUUGGAAAGCUCCAAAUUUCAUGUUAAAAAUAAAACAAACAAACAAAACCUCCA